UAAGCUAGAGUAGGUGAGAGGGAAGUAGAAUUCCAGGGGUAGCGGUGAAAUGCGUAGAGAUCUGGAGGAAUACCGAUGGCGAAGGCAGCUUCCUGGCAUCAUACUGACACUGAGGCUCGAAAGCGUGGGUAGCAAACAGGAUUAGAUACCCUGGUAGUCCACGCCGUAAACGAUGUCUACUAGUCGUUGGGUCCCUUGAGGACUUAGUGACGCAGCUAACGCAAUAAGUAGACCGCCUGGGGAGUACGGCCGCAAGGUUAAAACUCAAAUGAAUUGACGGGGGCCCGCACAAGCGGUGGAGCAUGUGGUUUAAUUCGAUGCAACGCGAAGAACCUUACCUGGUCUUGACAUACACAGCAUCUCGUAGAGAUACGAGAGUGCCUUCGGGAAUUGUGAUACAGGUGCUGCAUGGCUGUCGUCAGCUCGUGUCGUGAGAUGUUGGGUUAAGUCCCGCAACGAGCGCAACCCUUGUCCUUAGUUACCAGCGGGUUAAGCCGGGAACUCUAAGGAUACUGCCAGUGACAAACUGGAGGAAGGCGGGGACGACGUCAAGUCAUCAUGGCCCUUACGACCAGGGCUACACACGUGCUACAAUGGUAGGUACAGAGGGCAGCUACACAGCGAUGUGAUGCGAAUCUCAAAAAGCCUAUCGUAGUCCAGAUUGGAGUCUGCAACUCGACUCCAUGAAGUAGGAAUCGCUAGUAAUCGCGGAUCAGAAUGCCGCGGUGAAUACGUUCCCGGGCCUUGUACACACCGCGCCGUCACACCAUGGGAGUU
rnacentral:rRNA from 1 species